UACGGAGGGUGCAAGCGUUAUCCGGAUUCACUGGGUUUAAAGGGUGCGUAGGCGGAUAUGUAAGUCCGUGGUGAAAUCUCUGGGCUUAACCCGGAAACUGACCAUGGAUACUAUGUGUCUUGAAUGUUGUUGAGGUGAGCGGAAUAUGUCUGUAGCGGAUGAAAUGCUUAGAUAUGACAUAGAACACCAAAUUGCGAAGGCAGCUCACUAAGCA
rnacentral:rRNA from 1 species